UACCAGGCACCCCGAGUGGUCGGGACGUUUUAUUGGGCCUAAAGCAUCCGUAGCCGGUUCUACAAGUCUUCCGUUAAAUCCAUCUGCUUAACAGAUGGGCUGCGGAAGAUACUAUAGAGCUAGGAGGCGGGAGAGGCAAGCGGUACUCGAUGGGUAGGGGUAAAAUCCGUUGAUCCAUUGAAGACCACCAGUGGCGAAGGCGGCUUGCCAGAACGCGCUCGACGGUGAGGGAUGAAGGCUGGGGGAGCAAACCGG
rnacentral:rRNA from 1 species